UAAUAUAAUUAAAUAGUCAUCCGUAUAAUCUUGAAAAUAUGGUUCAAGAGUCUCUACCAGAAUACCUUAAAUAUCUGACUAUGGGUGGAUCCGUGAAAUUU
rnacentral:ncRNA from 2 species